rnacentral:lncRNA from 1 species
CAACUCAAAAGAGAUGCGGUAUAAAAGAGGAUUUGAAUGGAGACCUUGAAUCCUAGGCUGACAAGUCUGGACUUGAGUACAAAGAUAUAUUUUAACAUUUUCCUGAGCCACCGUUUGCCUAGGCUGCAUGACAUACCAAUUCUUAUGGAAGGACUCAGUGCUCACCAUCCUCGAAAACCUGAUUCAAAACCUAUCUUGCCAUUCUUGCGUAAGACCUACAUCUAGAGUCAUGUUUAAAACUUUUCCCCCAUUAGAAACCCAAUAUAUAAAAUAGACAAAAGUGAACUGCUCAGGCAAGAAGGGGAUGGGAAUAGCCAAGUAGAUAGGGGCGUAGAGUCCCUUUAUUUGUCCCCUACCCACUUGUUUUCUCUUAAGGUACUUUCAAAGGUUCUGGGGCAACCUGAAAACCCAUAGCCUUGUCAUUUAUUUCUAGCCUUGGCUGUACAUUAGAAUCACUUGAGAAACUUUGAAAAAAGCUUGGGUGACAGAGCGAGACUCCGUCUCAAAAAAAAAAAAAAAAAAAAAAAAGCUUGGGCCUCACCUUAGACCAACUAAUAAAUCUGUGUGUGUGUGUGUGUGUGUGUGUGUGUGUGUGUGUGUGUGUGUGUGUCUAGAGUGCCUGCUUUAGACACUCAUUGUGUGCUAUU